rnacentral:lncRNA from 1 species
UUGAGCAGUGUUAGAGUAGCGUUUAGAUUUACAGUCCAGUUUCCUGAUUUUUUUCUUCUCUCUUUUCAUUUUUUCCGUUUUUUUUCUUUCAGAAGCUUUAAAAAGCACUUUUGCAGUUUAGGAGAUGAGGAGCUACUUUCACUCCAGCUCAGUUUUGCUCCAGGUACUGAGUCAUUAGUUGUGGCAAAGUUUCCAUUUUUGGUGAGACUUGUGCUCCCACAACAGUCGGACAGUCUCUUAUCCAGGAUAUCUUGAAAACAUGAGCUAGGAUAAAGCUGAUGAACUGCAGCAUAGCUCCAUUAAAGCCCAUAGGAUAUUCCAGCUGACAGCAUCUGGGCUUUGGGUUAUUUUGUAGACAAGGUGAAGGCGUUGUGUGAUCCAGCCGAGGCAGCACAGAGUGCACGGCUGGAUCCCGUCACGGCAGGAGCGCCUCUCCCUCGUGAUGCUCUAGCAGCCAUUUUACCACAGCUGAGGCCUGCAAGCGUUUCAAAAUGCCAGAAGUACUGUUGUUUUCCUUCUGUGUCUCAGAUAAAGAGACAGAAAUCAGCUCUUGGGACUUCAUGCAGAGAUUGCACCUGGGGCAGUUGCAAAGGAGGAGGCCGCAUAACUGUUCAAAUGUCUCACAGAAGCCCGUCAUAUCCUAGCCGUUACUAACUGGGACGUUUCAUGCUUUCUUAUCCUCUUCAUAAAGGCACACCUGAGUACAGCCAGGCAUGAGGACUGCUGUAAAUAUUAGCUCCUUUGUUAGCUGAAUGCUUCCUCUCUCAUCGCUGAAACAAGACAGCUAAAUUCAACAAUGAAAGCACUACUAAACCGCAGCUCUGGUUAUUAUCCCAACUCCUUAGUACGUCACUAUUUUGAAUAAAG